ensembl:rRNA 5S_rRNA 5S ribosomal RNA
GCUUACGGCCACACAGCCUGGUUCACGCUUGAUCUCGGAAGCUAAGAUAGGUUGGGCCUGGUUAGUAAUUGGAUGGGAGACCGCCUGGGAAUACCAGGUGCUGUAAGCU